rfam:Streptomyces alboflavus strain MDJK44, complete genome.
CCGCGCCCCUUACGGGGCUCGGUCCACUGACCCCGGUACCUGAUACGGCCGGGGCAG